rnacentral:rRNA from 1 species
GGAGGGGGCGAGCGUUUAUUCGGAAUCAUUGGGCGUAAAGGGCAGGUAGGCGGCUUUGUAUGUCCAAUGUGAAAGCCCUCGGCUCAACCGAGGAAUUGCAUUGGAAACUGCAGGGCUUGAGUCCGGGAGAGGGAAGCGGAAUUCCCAGUGUAGCGGUGAAAUGCGUAGAUAUUGGGAGGAACACCAGUGGCGAAGGCGGCUUCCUGGACCGGUACUGACGCUGAUCUGCGAAAGCCAGGGGAGCAAACGGGAUUAGAUACCCCGGUAGUCCUGGCUGUAAACGAUGAGCACUUGGUGUGGCGGGUAUCGACCCCCUGCUGUGCCGACGCUAACGCAUUAAGUGCUCCGCCUGGGGAUACGGUCGCAAGGCUG